AAGUGGAGCAAUCCAUGAGUACAGUGGCGUACGGGUGAGUAACACGUGACUAACCUACCCUCGAGUGGGGAAUAACCUCGGGAAACCGGGGCUAAUACCGCAUAACAUCUACGGAUCAAAUGCGCAAGCAGCUUGAGGAGGGGGUCGCGGCCGAUUAGCUAGUUGGCGGGGUAAUGGCCCACCAAGGCAAUGAUCGGUAGCCGGCCUGAGAGGGCGCACGGCCACACUGGAACUGAAACACGGUCCAGACUCCUACGGGAGGCAGCAGUGGGGAAUUUUGCGCAAUGGGGGAAACCCUGACGCAGCAACGCCGCGUGGAGGAUGAAGCCCCUUGGG
rnacentral:rRNA from 1 species